rnacentral:lncRNA from 1 species
AAGAAUCUCGCCCUCGAGAUUCAGGGCUGGCUAGCAAAGAGCUCCGGGUAUUUGAAAUUUACCAAUUGAAAAUUAUUAGUUUUCUAAAACUAGGUGGUGGGAUUUUGAAAAUACUACUUUCACCCCCUUUUGAACACAACAAGAUACCAAUUUGAAAUUUACCAAUUGAAAAUUAUUAGUUUUCUAAAACUAGGUGGUGGGAUUUUGAAAAUACUACUUUCACCCCCUUUUGAACACAACAAGAUACCAAUUUGAAAUUUACCAAUUGAAAAUUAUUAGUUUUCUAAAACUAGGUGGUGGGCGGUGCGGUCCUUUUGCUUUGGGCUAAUACUUUCUCCUCCUUUGGCAUGAAUCGCCAAAAACGGAUACUUUGAGUGAAAUACAAGCCCUUAAAUAACUACUUUCUCCCCUUUGGCAAAUAAAACAUGAGUGAAGAUUAUACCAAAUACGGAGAGACGGCGGGAUACCGGCAAAGAGUGGAUAAUACCAAUGGAGUUGAGUGGAAGCGAUGUCUUUGCCGAAUACUCCAUUUCCCUUUCAAUCUAAGACUUAAUACAUGAGAUGCUCAUGAAAACAUAUUAGUCUUAGCCUUGGCACACAAUGAAGAUAAGAAAUAUGCAAAUGUACCAAAGGAAAGAGACAUGAUUAAAAAGGAUAUAUCAAUUAAGCUUAAACAAUUAUAUACAAUAUAGAUUGCUCCCCCUAAAUAUGUGCAUAGAGAGGAAAACAAAUUUUUGGUCUAAAAUGCCAAGUGCACAUAAUUAGGUUAAUGAGACCAUGUCUAUAUCAUAAAGAGUGUAAAGUGCAUUGUGUCAUAGUAUAAGUGUGAUGCUAAUGACAUUUUAUGCACUUAUGAAAGCAUGUUAUAAAUAUCUCAAGCAUUUAUCCUUAAGGAUUUCAAGGAGACUUAAGGACCAUCCACCUUUUGGAACAAAAGGCAGCUUAUCCUCGUUACAAGGUUAAGCUUUAAGCUCCUUGACAAUAAAAUUACUUCACCCAGUUUAAACAAAGAUGUAAAAAUGAAUGUUUGAGAAGUUAAACUAGGUAUGAAGCAGGGUUAAUGCAUGAACAUGCUUUUUCUUCCUUUUAUACAAGAUAUGCAAGGAAUGUAGG